rnacentral:rRNA from 1 species
UACGUAGGGUGCAAGCGUUGUCCGGAAUUAUUGGGCGUAAAGAGCUCGUAGGCGGCCUGUCGCGUCGGCUGUGAAAACCCGGGGCUCAACCCCGGGCCUGCAGUCGAUACGGGCAGGCUAGAGUCCGGCAGGGGAGACGUGGAAUUCCUGGUGUAGCGGUGAAAUGCGCAGAGUAUCAGGAGGAACACCGGUGGCGAAGGCGGGUCUCUGGGGCCGGAACUGACGCUAAGGAGCGAAAGCGUGGGUAGCAAACGAGG